rnacentral:rRNA from 2 species
CCUUGACCUCAAAUCGGGUGAGACUACCCGCUGAACUUA